GGUUGCUGCAGGCGGAGGACCUGUGGCCUCGUGGUGAUGAGUACAAGGGGGCGGGUGGAGGAGACAUUUACGAGCUGGAAUCAGUGGGGUUUUGAAGGAUUGAUGGGAUGCGAGGCUGGUGAGGACUGCAGAAGGCAUCGGGUUUUGACUUGAGCAACUCCCGCUGGCAGCCAUCCUGAGGAAGAGCUCUGUGCAACCCGGGUGAGGAGCAGCCAGACAGUCACUGCGGGGACCCCUCAGAGUGCCGAGGUGGCCUGGGCUCCUGCUUUCACAGAGCAAAGAGUGCAAAGAGAAGGUCCGCUUUUGGAAAGUUUCUCCUUCAGCAAACACCUAACUAUUGCCGACUUCACUAAGUCCCACUGGGCUUUUCACAGUUGUGGGCCACGUCAGCCCCACCCUUGAAGACCACAAACCCUAAGAGCCAGGAAGAUGAAUUGAAUUUUGCUCAAGGUCAGGCAAACCCCUGAGAAAUCUGUGAGUUCUGCCUUUGGAGAACAGAUCCACCCUCCCCUACCAGGCCAUCAGGUGAGGUGACACGUUCAGCUUGGCCUCAGGCUAAAACCGUAACAAACAGUGCCAUCUACUGACUGUCUUCUACCACCGACGUUUCCCAGUAGCGGCAACUACUCCUCAGGUGUAACACCUCUGUCAUGUUAGGGGUUACAGUCACAUGUCGAGACAACUCAGUGCUACAGGGAAUGUAGAAAUCAUCCAUUUUAAUUUUCUUGCUUUUUUCAACAGAAGAGAUUGAGAUCCAAAAAGAUGGAUCAGUUUGCCCCAAAUUUUGACAUGGUAUUUUUCAAUGAGUACCAUUGUGAACUGAACCUGGGAAUGGGAAAAAAAUUUAACACUUUGGAGAUGGAAAUCAAUUUUCAAAGUUGUCCAACCACUGGGGAAAAGUCUGACGGAGAUGAUUAAUGCAAAGAACAUGAAGUCAAUAGACCAAAGCCAGUUGGCACACGGCGGAUAGAAAGUUUCUCACACGCAGGAAGAAAAUAAUGAAAGAAGAAAUAAGAAGUUAGGACUAUCUUGUUCCUCCUUUGUAACAGCAGAGGUGUACAACUGUUUCUGAUUGCUAGAGAGCCAGAUUUGUCUCCACAACAGCAUCAUGGGUAAAGCGACUUCAUUAUGCUUUAAGCAGCAUCAUGUCAAUACCAAGGUACAUCUUGAAAACCAAAACAAAUGUAGCCAUACAAUAUGACCCUUACAUUUAGGGCAUUUAGGUUGAGCAGUAGGGUCAACUCGGUAAAAAUGCUCCCAUACUUUUCAAUCUCAAGAAUUAAGCCAUAUUUGGUUUCUAUUUAUGUCUAAUACAUUAGCUAUUUCUUGAAAUAAUGGCCACAUCUAAGUGUUACAUUCAAAUAGGUUCAUAGUUGCAUCAUUUACAGCAGCUUAGUACAUUGCCAUGUUCCCGUAGGAGGCUUAACAAUUAUUCGUGGAGUGGGAUAUUGGAUAAAGCAUAUUCUCCUUUCUCACUUAAAGUAAAAAACUGUCAAGUCAAUUAUUACAAUGGGCUGUGGUAUGUUGUUAAUGCUGUUUUUAGGCUCAGGCAACAUUAUACAAAGCACAUCCCCAUAUGAGAGCAUACACACUCAAUUAAGGUACUUAGGUGAAGCAGCAGCCAAAUGAAUGCUAGUAGGAAAUAUCUCCAAGCAUGCUUUAAUUUUAUCAUAUUUCUUAUCUUUUAAACUUAGAAGAAACUGAAAACCCAGAUUUGACCAAAUUUGGGACCAUGUGACACACAGGGGUUCCAAAAGGCCGAUCCCCUACCCGCAACACAGUACUUAGCUCAGCACUUAACUCUGAAGAACCAGAGGCCUCCAGAACUGAGAUGCCCAUGCUGGGAGCACCCGAGAGACAUGGUGUGAGGGUCACACUGCCCUGCAGCACUGUGUGGCAGGACCAGCAGGUCCAGCACCCAGGCAGGGCCCCUCUGGGCGCAGUGCAGUCUUCACGCAGAUGUGCCUGGCGCAGGGUCAGGACAGAGCCCAGAAACGCUGACUGCAGUGACCGCAGCAAAUCCGCAGCCUCACAGCCGCUGGACAAAACACAGUCUUAUUCUCCACACACAUGGACUGGGGUUUGGAUGCGAUUUCAGAAUAAUAACACUCAGCAUCUUCAGUCUUAUUUGACGAUUCCAUCUCUCCCUGUUAUUUGAGCAGAAGACUGGAAAGCAUGGCUCCUCCUCCUUCACUUUCCUAUUCAUUUCUGCAUUAAUGUUUAUGCUCUGUUUGCCAUCUAUGCUAUUGCAUUUGUGUCUUUUGGUUCCACAUUUUCAUCAGAGGCUUUAGAUGCAUUUAGAUCAUCUGUAUUCAUUGGCAGGCGGUAGACGAGAGAAGGGUGACACAGCAUGACAACGACGUUCCCCCUUCUUCCUGCUUUCAUUCUUUCCCUCUGUCAUGGUGAACCCCUUCAACCCUUAGAGAAACUAAACUGAAAGACGUUUCCUGAGGGACUUUUGAGUAUCCCAGGGCUGAUUAUAAACUGCUUCAAAUAAACUUUGCAGUUAAUAAACUGACUUUGGGUUUGAUCAAUUCUCAAUUUAAAGGAAGCUGGAGACAUAGCGUAUAUUAGAGCUGAGGGCUAAGUGGUAGCUUGCUUGGCAUGUGUUUUUGUGGAGAGGUCCUGCUCAUAUGUAUAAAAGACAAGAAAAAGAGACAAAAGCAGACACACAUUUAUAGAGACAAUGGCAACAAUAAAUGAAGAGUGUUCACCGUGAGAGGAUGCAACACCCAGUCUAUUCCAGAACUGGCUUUAUUUUUAACCACAAAUGAGUUAUAAGGGAAUUUAAAAAUAUAAAAUGCACUGCAGUGGGGGAGAGCCAGGUCUUUUGAAUCAUACAGUGUCCUAUAGAAGUCCAUUUUUAAAUGCAGAUAAUAGCUCCUUAACAUACAAGCAGAAGAGUUUUCCC
rnacentral:lncRNA from 1 species